rnacentral:rRNA from 1 species
GAAGAACGCUGGGGGCGAGCCUAAUACAUGCAAUGUCGAGCGGAUCUCUUCGGAGAUCAGCGGCGGACGGGUGAGUAACACGUGGGCAACCUGCCUAUAAGACUGGGAUAACUCCGGGAAACCGGGGCUAAUACCGGAUAAUCCUCUGGACCUCAUGGUCCGGAGCUGAAAGACGGUUCUGCUGUCACUUAUAGAUGGGCCCGCGGCGCAUUAGCUAGUUGGUGAGGUAACGGCUCACCAAGGCGACGAUGCGUAGCCGACCUGAGAGGGUGAUCGGCCACACUGGGACUGAGACACGGCCCAGACUCCUACGGGAGGCAGCAGUAGGGAAUCUUCCGCAAUGGACGAAAGUCUGACGGAGCAACGCCGCGUGAGUGAAGAAGGUUUUCGGAUCGUAAAACUCUGUUGUCAGGGAAGAACAAGUGCGAGAGUAACUGCUCGCACCUUGACGGUACCUGGCCAGAAAGCCACGGCUAACUACGUGCCAGCAGCCGCGGUAAUACGUAGGUGGCAAGCGUUGUCCGGAAUUAUUGGGCGUAAAGCGCGCGCAGGCGGUCUUUUAAGUCUGAUGUGAAAGCCCCCGGCUCAACCGGGGAGGGUCAUUGGAAACUGGAGGACUUGAGUGCAGAAGAGGAGAGCGGAAUUUCCCGUGUAGCGGUGAAAUGCGUAGAGAUGUGAGGAACACCAGUGGCGAAGCGGCUCUCUGGUUCUGUAACUGACGCUGAGCGCGAAGCGUGGGGAGCGAACAGGAUUAAAUACCCUGGUAGUCCACGCCGUAACGAUGAGUGCUAAGUGUUAGAGGUUCCGCCUUAAUGCUGGCAGCUAACGCAUAAGCAUCCGCUGGGGAGUACGUCGCAAGACUGAACUCAAAGAAUUGACGGGGCCGCACAAGCGGUGGACAUGUGUUUAUCCAAACACCGAAAACUUACAGGUCUUGACAUCUCUGACACCCUUAGAUAGGGCGUCCCCUUCCGGGGACAGAAUGAC